rnacentral:rRNA from 1 species
UCGGGAAUUUUGGGCAAUGGGCGAAGGCCUGACCCAGCAACGCCGCGUGAGGGAUGAAGUAUUUCGGUAUGUAAACCUCGAAAGAAUGGGAAGAAUAAAUGACGGUACCAUUUAUAAGCUCCGGCUAACUACGUGCCAGCAGCCGCGGUAAUACGUAGGGAGCAAGCGUUGUUCGGAUUUACUGGGCGUAAAGGGCGCGUAGGCGGCGCGGUAAGUCACUUGUGAAAUCUCUGAGCUUAACUCAGAACGGCCAAGUGAUACUGCUGUGCUAGAGUGCGGAAGAGGCAACCGGAAUUCUUGGUAUAGCGGUGAAAUGCGUAGAUAUCAAGAGGAACACCUGAGGCGAAGGCGGGUUGCUGGGCCGACACUGACGCUGAUGCGCGAAAGCCAGGGGAGCAAACG